GUAGGUGAACCUGCGGAAGGAUCAUUAAUGAAUUAAACCGGGGGCGGUGGAGCGCGGCCUCGCACCGGCGGAGACGCCGUUCGUGCGGGCUCGUUCCGCCCCCUCAUCCACAACCCACACACAUGUGCACCAUAGGGACGGCGGGUGGAUAACGCACGCCGUCUCGCUUUACAAGCUCUGAAGUUUACUUUGAAUGUCAUUUGAUUCGGGCUAGCCCCGAUGUAUUAAACAUAACAACUUUCAACAACGGAUCUCUUGGCUCUC
rnacentral:misc_RNA from 1 species